UCUUUGCACCAGUCUUCUGCUGUCCAAUCCUUGAACGUUCUGCAGAAUUUCAGUCUCUCCUAGAUGUUUUUCUUGGAGAGAAGUGGCUUCUUUGCUCCCUUUAUGUACUCCAGGCCACUGUCCAAAAGCAUUGGCCUUACUGUGCAUACAGAUGCUCUCACAACAACCUGCUUCCAGUUCCUGAGCAAGCUCUGCACUGCUGGAGACAUGAUUCUGUAGCCGACUCCUCAUGAGUAGAUGGUCCUGGCACUUGGUGGAUAAUCUGGGACCUCCUGAAGACUUCACUGCAGUCAAACCUCUCUGCUUGAAGUUCUUGAUGAUCUGAUAAAUGAUUCUUUGUAGCAAUUUCCUUGCCUGUAAGGCCCUUUUGAUGCAAAGCAAUGAUGGCUGUGUGUUUCUUUUUGAGAUGACCAUUGCUAACAAGAACACAAUGAUUGGCAGUGAUUCCUCCCUCCUUUAAUAGCAACCAGUCUGACCUUAUUAUCUGUUUAGUAUGAUCAUGAUUUUACCUGACUAGUACUCAUUCACACUUACAUGUGCUGCUGAUAUUAGUGUUGGUUGGGCAUUUUGUGUCAGGAUCAAAAACAGUGAAAUUGAAUUUUUUUGGCCAAUGAAGCUUUUAGCAAUUAUUUAAAAUGAAUUUGAUCACUCUACACAAUCUAGAAACACAAAAUUUCUCACUGCUAAAACUUUUGGCUAUGACUGUAGGUUGACGUGAGCUUUACACGUCUAAAUUUGAUUAAUAAUGCUUAAAUCUAGUAAAAAAAUGAAUGGCAGCCUCUUCUGAAAGGGUCAGCUAGAUGUGGAUACAGCAUAGUGUCACAUUCAAAAGGUGUGGUCAUCAAUGCACCAUUUAUGCCAUGCACCGAGCCAAAGGAUGGCAUGUUCACUCUCAGCAUGGUAGUGGAGAGAGAGUUUAAUCGGUCUUGCCCAGCACUAUCACUUAGUCUUCCUAUAGAUGCAACUAAUUUUGUACAUGAAAAUGAACUAAUUUCUGUGCCUCAUGCUCUUACUUUAGCACUCCCUCCAGUUACAACUACUAAAACCACUCCUCUCUUCUCUUAUUACAUUCCUGACCAGCCAGAUUUUAAACCUGUUCCUCCUAGAUACCCUUUUCUCCUUUUUCCUCCAAAUAUACCACCAAUUAUUCUUCCUCAAGGUCCCAAAAUUGUGGGUCCCCCAACUGCUAUUAGCAAGAGGCCACAAGCACCUGCUGACACACAACGUCCUCAAACUUGAUACCCUAAGCCCAGCUUGGGUCUUACCCUUGACCCCACUCAUCAAAGUGCAGUUGGGCCACGUUAUCGAAGAAAACCUUUGUUGCAUCCUAACAAGGCUUAUAAAGCCCAUAUCGCUCCCUUACUAAAACCGACAAAGUCCUCAAGAUAAGUUGACUUCACCAUGCCCAAUGUCCCUCCUGUGCAGUGGACACCUAUGUUUCCUCCCAGCAGUAUGGUGUAUCCCUUAUUUCCUGGAAAACCUGAAUUUGUUGCUCCCUCCUCUGCAGUCUUUCCUCAGGUGCCUUACUGGCCCCAUCACUCCCAAACGAGACCCUCUGAACCACAUGCUCCACCAAAACUAGAGCCUGAACCACUUACACCUGCCCCAAAAGUAAAACAGGGCCUCAACUUCUCCGCUAUCCAUGGUACAGACCCUUCCCACCACAUCGUUCAGAAAUGCCACCUGUCCCCAAAAAUAAUAUGGUUUCCACCUCUGAGGCUGUUGUUUCCAGGUCCACCGUAUUUCCAGAAAGGUACUGAACAAGUUAAAAAGCCGCAAACAUCUGAGAUAACGUAUAGAACAGUUGUUAAGGAUCCUCCUAUAAACUUAGGCUUUGAUUUUGCCCCAAACACACAUCCUACUCCUUCACUCCCUACGUUUCCUGAAGUUGUUCACACUCCUGCCCCAAUAGAGGCUUCCCCAACUCUAAUUGGUUCGUCCCAUGCACAUUCUUUUCACCGUCCAGCAUUUCUGCCCUGGACACCAUUCAGUGUUCUACCACCACCAAAACCAUCACCAUGUUGGUAACCCUCUUCAAAUAUCUAAUUUUGAAAUUUCUAGUACAACUAAAAUUACAGGCCAAAUGCGGUCAUCUCCUGUUAUAUCUCCAGAUUUAAACCUCUCUUCCCUUAUUAAGGGAAAUGGUUAUAAUUAUGACCCACUUUACACAAAAACAGCUCUACAACCAGCUUCAGAUCAUACAGCAAUGCAAUAUUUGGUGGAGAAACCCCCCAUUAAGAGUACUGAUGCCCUUGAUACUUCAAAGCAUUUUUCUGGGCCAACCAUGCGUCCCUACAUUUUUAGGAAGCUGGAAUCAACUUCUGCCUCUCCACAGCUUACAGUGAAACCUGCUAAUUUUGCUUCUGUUAUACGUCAUUUGGAGCGUUCACAAAAUAGACCAGUUGCUGAACCUCUUGUCUGUUCAAACCACAGCCCAAACACUGCAGAUAACCAGACUUGAGAUGCAGCAGUUUGUUUCACCAUUGGGGCGUGACACACAGCCAAUGUUAGUUGCUCCAAAUAAAGCUCCCUCUUUUGAGAAAGUGUUCCAACAAGACAUUUCUUUAAAACUCACUAUGCUGCCAACUCUUAGCAAAAAUGCAUUUAUGAAUUACUGGGAUCAAGCUGCUAAUUUGAAUGCUAAGCCCCCUUGGUCUAAUUCUCAUACAAAAGACACUUUCACCCAGAUGCCAUUACCUCAGCCACCCAAUAAACACAAUUCAUUUGAGCCGUUAACUGCAUCCCUUAAACCAGAAGAAACUCCUGGCGAGAAACCUCCACCACAGCUGAGUUUUCAUCCCUUGAUGCAGAUUCGCAACUCUGUGCCAGCAAAGACCCCUUAGCUGUAUUUCACUCCAAAUGGAAAAUCUGUGGAUCCUGUUUUUAGGGGCCCAAAAUUAUUUAAUGCUCACUGGGUUCCUGCUGCACAAUACAGCAAGGAUUCAUUCCUUUCCAGGUCUCAAACAGAUGGUUAUAUAAGGCAUCCAUGAACCGUAGACCAAGGACUCUGGAGAGCUGGAAACGGUGCCAACCAAUAAAGUGUUUAAGUGGGGAAAAAAACGUUAUCUGCCUUUCUUUUAAAACCCUAAUUUGUUUUCAGUUUUUGUAAGUUUUGUGUUGAGUUCGAGUCCUUAUUUAUUUUUAAAGGAUAACAUGAAUAAAAAUCAGUGUAUGUGUAUAUAGGUCCUUCUAA